rnacentral:lncRNA from 1 species
GGGGGCUGCACGUCACGGCUACUCAAAACCAAGCACGUCCCGAAAGCAGUAUUUUCUGCGUCUGGGAGGUUUUUGCAUCCUCAGUUCCCACCGCUGGGGCUGGCGGCGACCAACUCGCGGACCUGCCGCAGCCCGGGAGCUGUCAUUUCAUCAGCGGGAUCCCGAUGAAUUGACCCAGUCCUCCGCGAAGGGGGCACAUCUCAGCUCCCGAAACGCUGCGUGUCCCUCUCCGGCUGGAACAAUACUAGUUUUUCUCAGCGAGGCUGCAAUUAACAUCUUAUUUGUUCUGGGCUAGAUACAGGCUUUGUCCGGACCGCGGUGCGGCGACCGAGCCCCCUGGACGGUUGGCUGACAAGUAUUUGAUGAACUGGCUUCAGAUACAAUGCUGCCAAAGGUCAUUCGCCUCCUGAUUAUGUCUCUACUUGUAAACGCAGUUGGUGGUUUGCAAAACAAGUGGCAAAAUAGUGUGGUGAUGUGGUGGGGGAGACCACAGUGGGUAAUUCAUUUCGUGUCGGAGUCUUCCUAAGGGUGAGUGGCUUGAGGGGCAGGUGAAGUGGAAUAAAACAAAUUUCCAUCAUUUUCUCCCCGUACA